rnacentral:rRNA from 1 species
GCCUACGGGGCGCAGCAGUCGAGAAUCAUUCACAAUGGGGGAAACCCUGAUGGUGCGACGCCGCGUGGGGGAAUGAAGGUCUUCGGAUUGUAAACCCCUGUCAUGUGGGAGCAAAUUAAAAAGAUAGUACCACAAGAGGAAGAGACGGCUAACUCUGUGCCAGCAGCCGCGGUAAUACAGAGGUCUCAAGCGUUGUUCGGAAUCACUGGGCGUAAAGCGUGCAUAGGCUGUUUCGUAAGUCGUGUGUGAAAGGCGCGGGCUCAACCCGCGGACGGCACAUGAUACUGGGAGACUAGAGUAAUGGG